rnacentral:rRNA from 1 species
AGAGUUUGAUCCUGGCUCAGGACGAACGCUGGCGGCGCGCCUAACACAUGCAAGUCGAACGAGAGAUGAGGAGCUUGCUCUUCAAAUCGAGUGGCGAACGGGUGAGUAACGCGUGAGGAACCUGCCUCAAAGAGGGGGACAACAGUUGGAAACGACUGCUAAUACCGCAUAAGCCCACAGCUCGGCAUCGAGCAGAGGGAAAAGGAGUGAUCCGCUUUGAGAUGGCCUCGCGUCCGAUUAGCUAGUUGGUGAGGUGACGGCCCACCAAGGCGACGAUCGGUAGCCGGACUGAGAGGUUGAACGGCCACAUUGGGACUGAGACACGGCCCAGACUCCUACGGGAGGCAGCAGUGGGGAAUAUUGCACAAUGGGGGAAACCCUGAUGCAGCGACGCCGCGUGGAGGAAGAAGGUCUUCGGAUUGUAAACUCCUGUUGUUGAGGAAGAUAAUGACGGUACUCAACAAGGAAGUGACGGCUAACUACGUGCCAGCAGCCGCGGUAAACGUAGGUCACAAGCGUUGUCCGGAAUUACUGGGUGUAAAGGGAGCGCAGGCGGGAGAACAAGUUGGAAGUGAAAUCCAUGGGCUCAACCCAUGAACUGCUUUCAAAACUGUUUUUCUUGAGUAGUGCAGAGGUAGGCGGAAUUCCCGGUGUAGCGGUGGAAUGCGUAGAUAUCGGGAGGAACACCAGUGGCGAAGGCGGCCUACUGGGCACCAACUGACGCUGAGGCUCGAAAGUGUGGGUAGCAAACAGGAUUAGAUACCCUGGUAGUCCACACCGUAAACGAUGAUUACUAGGUGUUGGAGGAUUGACCCCUUCAGUGCCGCAGUUAACACAAUAAGUAAUCCACCUGGGGAGUACGACCGCAAGGUUGAAACUCAAAGGAAUUGACGGGGGCCCGCACAAGCAGUGGAGUAUGUGGUUUAAUUCGACGCAACGCGAAGAACCUUACCAAGUCUUGACAUCCCUUGACGAUACUGGAAACAGUAUUUCUCUUCGGAGCAAGGAGACAGGUGGUGCAUGGUUGUCGUCAGCUCGUGUCGUGAGAUGUUGGGUUAAGUCCCGCAACGAGCGCAACCCUUAUGGUCAGUUACUACGCAAGAGGACUCUGGCCAGACUGCCGUUGACAAAACGGAGGAAGGUGGGGAUGACGUCAAAUCAUCAUGCCCUUUAUGACUUGGGCUACACACGUACUACAAUGGCGUUAAACAAAGAGAAGCAAGACCGCGAGGUGGAGCAAAACUCAGAAACAACGUCCCAGUUCGGACUGCAGGCUGCAACUCGCCUGCACGAAGUCGGAAUUGCUAGUAAUCGUGGAUCAGCAUGCCACGGUGAAUACGUUCCCGGGCCUCGUACACACCGCCCGUCACACCAUGAGAGCCGGGGGGACCCGAAGUCGGUAGUCUAACCGCAAGGAGGACGCCGCCGAAGGUAAAACUGGUGAUUGGGGUGAAGUCGUAACAAGGU